GUCGAACGAAGGCUUUUGCUUUAGUGGCGGACGGGUGAGUAAAGCGUGAGAAUCUGCCUUUAGGAGGGGAAUAACAGCUGGAAACGGUUGCUAAUGCCCCAUAUGCUUAGCAGUGAAAAAGAGCAAUCUGCCUGAAGAUGAGCUCACGUCUGAUUAGCUAGUUGGUAGAUUAAAAGCCUACCAAGGCCACGAUCAGUAGCUGGUUUGAGAGGAUGAUCAGCCACACUGGGACUGAGAUACGGCCCAGACUUCUACGGAAGGCAGCAGUGGGGAAUUUUCCGCAAUGGGCGAAAGCCUGACGGAGCAAUACCGCGUGAGGGAAGAAUGCCUGUGGGUUGUAAACCUCUUUUUUUAGGGAAGAAAGUUUGACGGUACCUAAAGAAUAAGCAUCGGCUAACUCCGUGCCAGCAGCCGCGGUAAUACGGGGGAUGCAAGCGUUAUCCGGAAUCACUGGGCGUAAAGAGUCUGUAGGUGGCUUGAUAAGUCUGCUGUUAAAUACCAAAGCUCAACUUUGAAACAGCGGUAGAAACUAUCAUGCUAGAGUAUGGCAGGGGUAGAGGGAAUUCCCAGUGUAGCGGUGAAAUGCGUAGAUAUUGGGAAGAACACCGGUGGCGAAAGCGCUUUACUGGACCAUUACUGACACUCAGAGACGAAAGCUAAGGGAGCGAAUGGGAU
rnacentral:rRNA from 1 species